rnacentral:rRNA from 1 species
GACGAAGGAUGCGAGCGUUAUCCGGAUUCAUUGGGUUUAAAGGGAGCGUAGGUGGUCUUAUAAGUCAGUGGUGAAAUCCUGUCGCUUAACGAUAGAAUUGCCAUUGAUACUGUAGGACUUGAGUACAGUUGCCGUUGGCGGAAUAUGACAUGUAGUGGUGAAAUACAUAGAUAUGUCAUAGAACACCGAUUGCGAAGGCAGCUGACGAAACUGUAACUGACACCGAGGCUCGAAAGUGUGGGGAUCAAACAGG